rnacentral:rRNA from 1 species
ACUCCUACGGGAGGCAGCAGUGAGGAAUAUUGGACAAUGGGCGCAGGCCUGAUCCAGCCAUGCCGCGUGCAGGAUGACGGUCCUAUGGAUUGUAAACUGCUUUUAUACGGGAAGAAACACCUCUACGUGUAGAGGCUUGACGGUACUGUGAGAAUAAGGAUCGGCUAACUCCGUGCCAGCAGCCGCGGUAAU